rnacentral:tRNA from 1 species
GGGGUUGUGGCUCAGAGAUAGAGCACUCACCUAGCAUGUGUGAGGCACUGGGUUCAAUCCUCAGCACCA